UGUAGCAAAGCAGAGACUUCCUGUUUUGCCCACUGGUCUCUCUCUGCCCUUUUGCCAGUCUCCCAGGAGCUACCCCAGGCCAGCCUCUGGAUCCGUAAGGGGGCACGAACAGGUAGCCAUCUCAGCAUCCAGGAGAGCCACCAUGACCAGGGCCUUAGAAGAGGCUCUUCUUCAGCACUUCAUACAUCAGAAGCUGGAGAUCGCUUAUGCCAUCAACAAGCCAUUUCCCUUUUUUGAAGGCCUCCGAGACAACUUCUUCAUCACUGAGAGACUGUACAGGGAAUCUAUGGAAGCCUGGAAAAAUCUGGUCCCUUUAUCCAGAGUCGUGUACAACAUUCUUACCCAACAGGAGAAGACAUUUAGUCUGUCAUUUUUGAAGAUACUGUUCAGCCAAAUCAACCUGAAGGAAUAUCCCAACCUGAUAACGACUCUCAAUAGCUUCACAAGAGUUGUCACUUCCCAUGGAGGCUGGAGCAGAAUCACAACCAUCCCUCUUGAAGCCCCAGCCAACCCAGCAGGAAGGAGCUCCUCGAGGACCCUGCCCCUGCCGCGUCUUCCCUGCCGACAACCCCUACGGAGCCUCCCACCCUAUGUACCCAGUGUCAGCGAGCCCAGAGCCCCGGCCCAGCACAGCUCUGAGGUCCUGUGUGAGCUGCCCAGCCCUACCAGCCCCACCAUGGCUCUCCGGGGAACCAUCCAGGAAGGAAGACUCAGUCCAGUGUCCAGUGACAACCUGAUCCCUCAAAUAAAAGAUAAAGAAGACACUCAAGAGAUGCCCUGCACUUCCUCAGCCUCUGUGCCAGUGAGAAGAGAUGAUGUCCCUGAACCAAGUGACUCAAAGGAGCUCCAGGAGGCAUCCAGGACACUUCCCAGCAAGAAAGGAAAGAAAAGAAAAAGAUGUAUCUGGGCCACCACAAAGAAGAGACAGCACAAAAAAAGCCACCGAGGAAGUAAGAUGAGAACACAAGAGGGGGUUGGAGGCCAGAGACCGCUCAUCUUUGCCGGUCAAGGGGCAGCCUUACCUGGGCAUGGAAUUCAAAAGACACUCCAACAGCAAGAUCAGGUGACUCAUAAAGAGGACCACUCAACCAGCAAUACAAAGGUCGUGACAAGGGCACAAAAGAGGACAGAAUGUGCCCAGAUGCCUAAAUCAGAGGAGAUCAGUGAUAAUCCUUCAGAAAUGGAUGAAGGGAAGAGACCCCAGGAGCCACCCAGCACACCACCAAGAAUCAUCCACAACAAAGAUUCCACAGAUGAUGACAGUAAACUGUCUUUGGGAAAAUCUCCCGGGGAAAAGCAAAGGAAGAGAAAAAUACAUAACUGGUCAAGUUCAAAAAAAAGACAGAAGAAAUGUCCCUCAAGAGGAGAAGCCUCAUCAGGGCUCAGAAUCGAAGAGAAGCUCCAAGGGAUGAAUCAGGUGACUCAAAAGAAGGACGACUCAACCGGAAAUUCAAAGGUCAUGACAAGAGCCCAAAAGGCACAGGCUGAAGGUGCCCAAACGCCUGCACAUGAGGAUAAAGCUGGUGCUGGCACUGGUCACCAGAAUGCUCAGCGUGGGAGGGUCUCUCGUGGAGCCCGCACAGAAAAACCUGAAGAUGAAACUCUGGAUUUUCACUCUCCUGAACUCCCCGUGACCUGUGGGGAGGCAAAGGGGAUUUUAUAUACGGAGAAAAUGAAGCAAGGAUCCUUAGAGAAGUGUAUUCAGAAUGAGAAGGGAGUUUGGUUCACACCAAGAGAAUUUGAAAUUGAAGGAAAGCGGAAACAUCUUAAGAACUGGAAGCGGAGCAUGUUUUGUGGAGGAAAGAGCCUAGAAAAGCUGCUGCAGGAAGGAAUUUUGCUCUGUCCUUCAGGAAAACAUCUCAAGAGAGAGGUACCAAUUCCCUUCCAGCAGGAAAACUCCAAGGAAUGUGAGGUGUGCUGUAAAGGGGGCUCGCUGCUCCGCUGUGACACUUGCCUGCGAGCCUUUCACGAGGACUGUCACAUCCCACCGGCGGAGGCUGAGAGGAGCCCGUGGAGUUGCACCUUCUGCAGGAUGAAGGAGUCUUCAGGAAACCAGCAGGGUCUCCAGAAAUCUGAAGUUCGGGCAAGGUCCAUGCAGCCGGGGGAGCAGCUGAAAUGUGAAUUUCUCCUCUUGAAAGCCUACUGUCAUCCACAAAGCUCUUUCUUCGCGGAGACCCCACUUAAUAUUCGAGAUUAUGGUGAGCCCUUUAGGGAAGCCAUGUGGUUGGACCUGGUUAAAGAAAGGCUGACUGAGAAAGUGUACACAAUGGCUUGGUUUUUACGGGACAUGCGUCUGAUAUUUCACAACCACAAAACAUUUUACAAGGCUUCCGACUUUGGUCAGGUAGGACUGGAUUUAGAGGCAGAAUUUGAAAAGGACCUCAAAGAAGUGUUUAUUUUUCAUGAAGCCAGUGAGAACAGCUUCCAGGUUCAUCCUUGAUCCUGUUCUGGAUGGACUAAAGCAUCCCAGCUUCAGGAUCCAGAUAACGCUUAUGGGACCUUCAGUUCAGUUGCUUAGUCGUGUCUGACUCUUUGCAACGCCAUGGACUACAGCACGCCAGACUUCCCUGUCCAUCACCAACUCCAGGGGAUCAUCUCUUAAGAACUGCUAAGCCUGGCUUGAGCUUUAUUCUGCUGAAAGAACACGGCCUUCAGCAUGGGUCCCCAGGGUGGAAAUUCCUGAUCCGUUCGAGGUCCAGCUCCAUGGACAUUCCAGACCAGCAUCCGGAAGACGGCCGACAUCCGCAGCCCCGAAGAGCUGGCCCCUGAUCUCCUGGCUCUGCCUCUAAGUGAGAGCUGCCCACAGUCUCUACCCCGCUGGACCCCACCUCUGCCUGGGUCUGCAGGGCCUCCCUGGUCUCCCCACUUUGACCCUGCCCAACCCCCACCCCAAAGCCUAUUCUCAGCUCAGCAGCCAGAUUGGGCCAGUUCAACCCAUCUGCUCUUCCCUACUCCCCGCCCCUCUCAGGGUGAAAUCCCAGGGCCCUUGACAAGGUGGGGGAGCCCUCCUCUCAUCUACUCCCCUUGGUGGGUUUUCCUCCAGCCUCCGCACUGUGCCUGGAGCACCAGGUCACCCCUGCUCAAGGCCUUUCCGCCAGCCUGUCCCUGUGUCUGGAAGGUUCUUCCCCCUAGAAAUGCUCAGGGUUCAUUCUCCUGUCCUCGAGGUUUUCACUCAAAUGUCACCUCUGGAGGAGGCCACCCCAGCAUCCCUUAUCUCUCUCCCACUCUCUUGCCUUGCCUGCUGGCUUGCUUUCCCCAGAGCCUCACUGGGCAUGUUCUAACACUUCAUGUGGUCUGUGGAUUGUUUGCAGUGUCUGUCUCUCACCACUAUUAAGUUCCUUGGGGACAAAAUUCUCUAUUUUGUUUGCCAGAAUACCCCCUCUCCAACUCUUCGGCGCUUCAUAAAUAUUUGUUGACUGAAUGCCCCGUUAGUCUGGGCCAGCUGGCCUGGGGGGAUCCAUAGCAUCUCUGAGCAAGCCUCCUGCUUCCCAGGGUUCUACACCAUUCGUUGGGUGGGGGGGUCUUACUCCCGGGCCCCCAUGUGGUAAGCCAGGCUUCAGGGUGGGUUAACUGCCCCGAGACCCCCUUCUGCCCAUGCCUGUCUUGUCUGGGCCCAGUUCCCUCCCUGCCCAGAGCCUUGCUUCACUUGGAUGGAGGCAUCUCACCCUCACCCUCGCCCACUUGGGGUCCAGCUGGGCUCUGGGGGCUGUGGGAGCCUGUGCUAUUUUACCUGUCCAUGCUGCU